GAUAAACCGAUGAUCAAGAGGAGUACAUAAGUAAGGAGUUUUCAGAGAGCUGUUGUAGGUGGGAAUACAGUAACGAGAACUUAUGGAAUGGACUUGUGAGGGCAACUUGAAACCGUAAGGAAGUAGAUGUUGACGGAACCCCGGCCGUUAUUAAUGGGACUGCAAUGAAAAACGUUGCAGAUAGAGAGGGUGCUUUUGCACCAAUCUGGGUGGUACCGCAGAAGUUUAGGCUUUUGUCCCUGAA
rnacentral:ncRNA from 1 species